AGCCUGACAGCAGCAGGUAAGGGAUUAUUCCUGACAUCGUGCAGGAUGAUUUGGCUUUGCAGGAAAUGCCCUGCAGUCAAGCUGAAAAUAGAGGAGUGGUAAAACACUACAGAGGGACAAACGCUUAACAGGUCACAGUGACUGUAGUGCUGCCAAGGCUCGUUAAGGAAAAUUAAGAUCAGAGCGACUGCAACUAGACACUAUUUAAUAUUGACCGUUUUCUCUUCUCACAAUUUAUUUUAUUCAUUCUGACUUCAAUGAUUUUAUUAUUUUUCAAGCUUCUUACUCUGAAUAUUGUCUGUAUCCUAACUGUUCAGCAGUUUUGAUUUCUUUUUAAUUUGUGAGCACUUUGCUUAACUUAGUAUUAUAGUUUAAUCAUAUUUAUAUUAAUAUUUGUAUUUAUUUUCAUUCUACAAAUCCUUAACCUGAAUGUGACAAACUGCCGUUUCUAAAGUUAUACAGUCAAACAGUAAAAGCAUUAAUUUGAUUUACAAAAAAAAAAAAUGGGGGUUAAUUUUUCAAAUAGUUAUUCUUUCAUUCAAGCUAAAUAUUUAGUUCAUAGAAUAAAUAUUUAGCUCAGAGAUAAAUUAUUAGUCGACCUGCAAAUUCACUCGACAAUAAGUGGAAGUGGACUAUCAAAAUAAAAGUUGUGUUCUGUAACCGCCUGCUGGUGGAUCACAUGGAUGUUGUUGAGUUGUGUUGUUUGUUUUAAGUAGAAAUGUUGUACAAGACAUGAAAAGAAAAAAUGGUGAUGAGGUGGAAUGAGCAAUGCCAGCAAGUGAAUUUGCAUAUUAGCUAAAUAUUUAGCUUUCAACUUAAAUAUUUAGCUUGAAGCUAAAGUUUUAUCAUGCUAACUAUAUUUGGCUUGGAGCUUAAUGUUUAGCUUGUAAACUGAAUAUUCAGCUUGAAACAUUUAUAAGUGAAUAAAUAUGGUACUUGGGAGGGCAGGAGGAAUCUGCUCCGACAGGCUAAAUAACACAAAGUAUUUGUUUAACUGUUUCUACACACUCAAAAGUGUGUAAAAAUGAGUGUGUAAUCCUCGAGUGACAGUUUGAUCCACUCUCUACCAGUUGGUGGCAUUUUUCGUUGUUUGCCAACCGCCAAAAUAAAAAAAACAACCAAAACAUUGAAGAAGAAGAAACCGUUGAAGAGAAAGACGGACAGUACAAGGUCUGUUUUGUUUACUGUGCGAAUGUCUUCGGUCCAGCUUAACCCAGUUCAUGAACAAGUGGUUAACUGCUGCUGCUGAAACAUUCACAGAGUUCAAAGAAAUAACCGUCAAGUCGGAGGAAGAGAUGGAUGAUCAGCGCAGACUGCUGGAUUUCUCCCGGACUCCACAGAUAAUCUUACACCGGAUAGAUUGCCAACAACAUAACAUUUAUAAGGAGGAGCUAUGUAAGCAGGAGAGGAGAUCCACUCUGGACCAGGAGGAGUUAGAACCUCUGCAGUUGAAACAAGAACAGGAAGAACCAGAAGAUCAGCAGAUAAAAGUUUACUCCAGUCAGGGUGAAGAACAGGUUGAGUUAAAACAGGAGACUGAUACCUGCAUGGUGGUUCCUGUUGAUGAACAAACAUUCCACAUUGGAUCAGAACCAAACAUGAACCAAGUCAUCUUCCAGGAAGCUGCUGAUGCCGAGAACCAAAAUCAGGAAAGAAGAAAACCUUUCUCAUGUGUCACCUGUGAAAAACGUUUCACUGCCAUAUCUACUCUCAAUCGUCAUAUUAGAACUCACACUGGUGAAAAACCGUUUUCAUGUGGGAACUGUGGAAAAGGUUUUAGU